ACUUCAGUUGGACCGCCGGUAUGCCGAGCAAUAUCACCCGCUCGGUGGAAGAUCUUCCUUCGUCGU
rnacentral:pre_miRNA from 1 species